rnacentral:rRNA from 1 species
CAAGUCUACUUGCAUUUGGGUUUUUAACUUCGAUUUGGGUGGCGGACGGGUGAGUAACGCGUAAAGAACUUGCCUCACAGCUAGGGACAACAUUUGGAAACGAAUGCUAAUACCUGAUAUUAUGAUUAUAGGGCAUCCUAGAAUUAUGAAAGCUAUAUGCGCUGUGAGAGAGCUUUGCGUCCCAUUAGCUAGUUGGAGAGGUAACGGCUCACCAAGGCGAUGAUGGGUAGCCGGCCUGAGAGGGUGAACGGCCACAAGGGGACUGAGACACGGCCCUUACUCCUACGGGAGGCAGCAGUGGGGAAUAUUGGACAAUGGACCGAGAGUCUGAUCCAGCAAUUCUGUGUGCACGAUGACGUUUUUCGGAAUGUAAAGUGCUUUCAGUUGGGAAGAAAAAAAUGACGGUACCAACAGAAGAAGUGACGGCUAAAUACGUGCCAGCAGCCGCGGUAAUACGUAUGUCACGAGCGUUAUCCGGAUUUAUUGGGCGUAAAGCGCGUCUAGGUGGUUAUGUAAGUCUGAUGUGAAAAUGCAGGGCUCAACUCUGUAUUGCGUUGGAAACUGUGUAACUAGAGUACUGGAGAGGUAAGCGGAACUACAAGUGUAGAGGUGAAAUUCGUAGAUAUUUGUAGGAAUGCCGAUGGGGAAGCCAGCUUACUGGACAGAUACUGACGCUGAAGCGCGAAAGCGUGGGUAGCAAACAGGAUUAGAUACCCUGGUAGUCCACGCCGUAAACGAUGAUUACUAGGUGUUGGGGGUCGAACCUCAGCGC